rnacentral:rRNA from 1 species
CGGCGGUGGAAACUGAUGAACUAGAGGGUGGUAGGGGUCACGGGAAUUCCCAGUGUAGCGGUGAAAUGCGUAGAUAUUGGGAAGAACACCAGCGGCGAAAGCGCGUGACUGGGCCAUUACUGACACUCAUGGACGAAAGCUAGGGGAGCGAAAGGGAUUAGAUACCCCUGUAGUCCGAGCCGUAAACGAUGGGCACUAGGUGUUGCCCGAUCGACCCGGGCAGUGCCGUAGCUAACGCGUUAAGUGUCCCGCCUGGGGAGUACGCACGCAAGUGUGAAACUCAAAGGAAUUGACGGGGGCCCGCACAAGCGGUGGAGUAUGUGGUUUAAUUCGAUGCAACGCGAAGAACCUUACCAGGGCUUGACAUGUCGCGAAUCCCCUUGAAAGGGGGGAGUGCCUUCGGGAGCGCGAGCACAGGUGGUGCAUGGCUGUCGUCAGCUCGUGUCGUGAGAUGUUGGGUUAAGUCCCGCAACGAGCGCAACCCACGUUUCUAGUUGCCAGCAUUCAGUUGGGCACUUUAGAGAGACUGCCGGUGACAAACCGGAGGAAGGUGUGGAUGACGUCAAGUCAGCAUGCCCCUUACGUCCUGGGCUACACACGUGCUACAAUGCUUCGGACAGAGGGUUGCCAGCCCGCGAGGGUGCGCUAAUCCCGUAAACCGAGGCUCAGUUCAGAUUGCAGGCUGCAACUCGCCUGCAUGAAGGCGGAAUCGCUAGUAAUCGCCGGUCAGCAUACGGCGGUGAAUACGUUCCCGGGCCUUGUACACACCGCCCGUCACACCAUGGGAGU